GACGAACGCUGGCGGCGUGCUUAACACAUGCAAGUCGAACGCUGAAGCUUAGCUUUUGUUGGGUGGAUGAGUGGCGAACGGGUGAGUAACACGUGAGUAACCUGCCCCCUUCUUUGGGAUAACGCCCGGAAACGGGUGCUAAUACUGGAUAUUCACUGGUCUUCGCAUGGGGGUUGGUGGAAAGGGUUUUUCUGGUGGGGGAUGGGCUCGCGGCCUAUCAGCUUGUUGGUGGGGUGAUGGCCUACCAAGGCUUUGACGGGUAGCCGGCCUGAGAGGGUGACCGGUCACAUUGGGACUGAGAUACGGCCCAGACUCCUACGGGAGGCAGCAGUGGGGAAUAUUGCACAAUGGGCGCAAGCCUGAUGCAGCGACGCCGCGUGAGGGAUGGAGGCCUUCGGGUUGUGAACCUCUUUCGCUCAUGGUCAAGCCGCAACAAUGGUUGUGGUGAGGGUAGUGGGUAAAGAAGCGCCGGCUAACUACGUG
rnacentral:rRNA from 1 species